rnacentral:rRNA from 1 species
GUGGGGAAUAUUGGACAAUGGGCGAAAGCCUGAUCCAGCCAUGCCGCGUGUGUGAAGAAGGUCUUCGGAUUGUAAAGCACUUUAAGUUGGGAGGAAGGGCAGUAAGUUAAUACCUUGCUGUUUUGACGUUACCGACAGAAUAAGCACCGGCUAACUUCGUGCCAGCAGCCGCGGUAAUACGAAGGGUGCAAGCGUUAAUCGGAAUUACUGGGCGUAAAGCGCGCGUAGGUGGUUUUGUAAGUUGGAGGUGAAAUCCCCGGGCUCAACCUGGGAACUGCCUCCAAAACUGCAUGACUAGAGUACGGUAGAGGGUAGUGGAAUUUCCUGUGUAGCGGUGAAAUGCGUAGAUAUAGGAAGGAACACCAGUGGCGAAGGCGACUACCUGGACUGAUACUGACACUGAGGUGCGAAAGCAUGGGGAGCAAACAGGAUUAGAUACCCGAGUAGUCC